UGUCAGAAGGGACGAAGCCCGUUUUUCGGAACGGGUGACGGUACCUUCAGAGGAAGCCCCGGCUAACUACGUGCCAGCAGCCGCGGUAAGACGUAGGGGGCGAGCGUUGUCCGGAUUCACUGGGCGUAAAGGGGGCGUAGGCGGCCUUGCAAGUCGGGCGUGAAAUGCCACGGCUUAACUGUGGAUUGUCGUCCGAUACUGCUCGGCUAGAGGACGGGAGAGGCUGGUGGAAUUCCCGGUGUAGCGGUGAAAUGCGCAGAUAUCGGGAGGAACACCGAUGGCGAAGGCAGCCAGCUGGAACGUUCCUGACGCUGAGGCCCGAAAGCUGGGGCAGCGAAGUGGAUUAGAUACCCACGUAGUCCCAGCCGUAAACGUUGGGUGCUAGGUGUUGGGGCCUAACCAAGGCUUCAGUGCCGCAGGUAACCCAUUAAGCACCCCGCCUGGGGAGUACGGCCGCAAGGCUAAAACUCAAA
rnacentral:rRNA from 1 species